rnacentral:rRNA from 1 species
GAUGAACGCUGGCGGCGUGCCUAAUACAUGCAAGUCGAGCGAACGGACGAGAAGCUUGCUUCUCUGAUGUUAGCGGCGGACGGGUGAGUAACACGUGGAUAACCUACCUAUAAGACUGGGAUAACUUCGGGAAACCGUAGCUAAUACCGGAUAAUAUUUUGAACCGCAUGGUUCAAAAGUGAAAGACGGUCUUGCUGUCACUUAUAGAUGGAUCCGCGCUGCAUUAGCUAGUUGGUAAGGUAACGGCUUACCAAGGCAACGAUGCAUAGCCGACCUGAGAGGGUGAUCGGCCACACUGGAACUGAGACACGGUCCAGACUCCUACGGGAGGCAGCAGUAGGGAAUCUUCCGCAAUGGGCGAAAGCCUGACGGAGCAACGCCGCGUGAGUGAUGAAGGUCUUCGGAUCGUAAAGCGCUGUUAUUAGGGAAGAACAUAUGUGGAAGUAACGGUGCACAUCUUGACGGUACCUAGUCAGAAAGCCACGGCUAACUGCGUG